rnacentral:rRNA from 1 species
CCCGUCACAUCACGAAAGUGGGCUGCACUAGAAGCCGGUGUGCUAACCGCAAGGAAGCAGCCGUCCAAGGUAUGGCUCAUGAUUGGGGUG